rnacentral:rRNA from 1 species
GAUUAACGCUGGCGGCAUGCCUAACACAUGCAAGUCGAAUGUGCUUUUUUUAGUAACAUGGCGGACGGCUGAGUAACGCGUAGGAACCUACCCUUAAGUCGGGUAUAACCCAUCGAAAGAUGGGAUAAUCCCCGAUAUGCCUCACGGUGAAAGAUUUAUCGCUUGAGGAGGGGCCUGCGUCCGAUUAGCUUGUUGGUGAGGUAAAGGCUCACCAAGGCUCUGAUCGGUAACUGGUUUGAGAGGAUGACCAGUCAGACUGGGACUGCGACACGGCCCAGACUUCUACGGAAGGCAGCAGUGAGGAAUUUUCCGCAAUGGGCGAAAGCCUGACGGAGCAAUGCCGCGUGCAGGAAGAAUGCCCUAGGGUUGUAAACUGCUUUUGUGAAGGAAGAUUAUGACGGUACUUCACGAAUAAGAGCCUGCUAACUACG